AACGAACGCUGGCGGCAUGCCUAAUACAUGCAAGUCGAACGAGAUCUUCGGAUCUAGUGGCGCACGGGUGCGUAACGCGUGGGAAUCUGCCCUUGGGUUCGGAAUAACUUCUGGAAACGGAAGCUAAUACCGGAUGAUGACGUAAGUCCAAAGAUUUAUCGCCCAAGGAUGAGCCCGCGUAGGAUUAGGUAGUUGGUGAGGUAAAGGCUCACCAAGCCGACGAUCCUUAGCUGGUCUGAGAGGAUGAUCAGCCAAAUUGGGACUGAGACACGGCCCAGACUCCUACGGGAGGCAGCAGUAGGGAAUAUUGGACAAUGGGCGAAAGCCUGAUCCAGCCAUGCCGCGUGAGUGAUGAAGGCCUUAGGGUUGUAAAGCUCUUUUACCCGGGAUGAUAAUGACAGUACCGGGAGAAUAAGCUCCGGCUAACUCCGU
rnacentral:rRNA from 1 species